UACAGAGGGUGCGAGCGUUGUCCGGAAUUACUGGGCGUAAAGGGCGCGUAGGCGGCCUGCUAAGUCGAACGUGAAAUCCCUGGGCUCAACCCAGGAACUGCGUCCGAUACUGGUUGGCUUGAAUCCGGGAGAGGGAUGUGGAAUUCCAGGUGUAGCGGUGAAAUGCGUAGAUAUCUGGAGGAACACCGGUGGCGAAGGCGACAUCCUGGACCGGUAUUGACGCUGAGGCGCGAAAGCCAGGGGAGCAAACGGG
rnacentral:rRNA from 1 species